rnacentral:rRNA from 1 species
GAUUUCUGGCUUGACGCGCUUGGCCCGCCUCGGUUACGAGUGUGAGUGCCGAUGCGCGUCUGCCAUCCUUCCAGAAAACGGCAUCUCCCUUCACUGGGUGGGUGUCGCGAUCUGGAUCUAUUACUUUGAAAAAAUUAGAGUGUUUAAAGCAGGCGUUUGCUGUGAAUACAUUAGCAUGGAAUAAUAAUCUAGGACUUCGGUUCUAUUUUGUUGGUUUCUAUAACUGAAGUAAUGAUUGAUAGGGACAGUUGGGGGUGCUAGUAUUGGCCGGCCAGAGGUGAAAUUCUUGGAUUCGGUCAAGACUAACUUAUGCGAAAGCAUU